CGAAUUCAGAUUUCCAUUUUUCCUUUAAGUUCAUCAUUGGUAUGAAAUACUAUUAGAAGGAUAAAUGUUGUUGUGUUUUUGUGGAUGCUGCACAUUUAAGUGUGUUUGUUCGGGAAAAUUAGACUAAUUUUGUUGUCAUUACAUUAUGUAUUGUCUGUACAUGAGCUAAGGAUUCCCAGUAAUCUUUCCUUUUUAGUAAUAUCAAGAAGGUAGGGAUGAAGUUAUACUCAUUUUUCUUUCAGAAAUAGGAUUAUAGAUAAGAUAACGCGUCAUAAUCGCUUAUCUCCAUCCUUAAAUACCGACUAUCAAGAAUUAACUGAUUGAAUGGUUUCCAGAUUUAAUUGUUGCUCUAAAGAUUUUGACUCUGUUGGGUGACGUCUAUAUAGGGAUUUCAUGUAUACUCAUGUGAAUAGCAAGACGUUCUUGCCUCACAGGCCCUCUACCCAGUUUUAAUUUUCUUCCCUUUAAUAUUUAUUUAAUAGGACCAUGAAAUCACUAUGAGUUCAAAUUCGAUAGAUCCUUUAAGCCUUUUUUCUUCCAAAAGAAGGCCAUGGGUAUAUGUUUUGUCAUAUUUUGAUAGAACCUAGUCUACACUUAUCUAAAGAUGCUUGAUUUUGAUUAUUUUCUUUGAGGAGUCCAAGAUCGGAUUGCUUCUCGUACUAUCUGUACUAGUCUUUUCCUUGUCUAUUUGAUCCUAUCCCAUGUUAAAUGUCUUUGGCUGAAAUAUAGGAUAAUUAGUCUUUUAUGGGCUAGGAGUGUUAAAAUUUGGUUUGAUAUAGUAAGAAGCAUCACCACCUGCUGGAACCAUGCUUUUGGUAUAACAUCUCCCUUCAGAACUUGUGCAGGGAAUUCUUUAUCCUUCUGUGACCUUUUGUUUAUUGUAUUCACUGUUUUGUCCAUGAAUAUAUCUUCACUUCUUAAGUAGAUUAUCUAGGUAUUUUCAAACCAUGCGCAAUAUAACUUAUUGAAUUAAGCGAGAAGUUAUUUUCAUUCUAGUUGCCUCAUUCUGUUCGGAUUGUUAUAUGAACCUGUCUAGGCUUUGCAUCAGAUCGAUUGACUUUCAUUAUUAUCAUGUGCAUAAGUGUGUGCAUCAUUAUCAUUCAAAACUUAGUCCUUGAUGUUUCUUUAUUUUGAGGUAUGUUACGUCUCGAAUGGGCAUUAAUUUAUUCAUCUUUUCUUUGCAUGAACUCUCUUCGGAGUCCAAUUGGACUCUUUUGCCUUGUAUCAUACAACGGGCCAGUGAGGCCCACCCUUUAGGAGAAUUUGGAUACCAACCUCAUAGAAUAUGGAUACAAGGAUUCAAAAGGAGAAGAAGGGGUUAAAGUCCCAUAUUUGAAGCGGCUACGAGACCUAAAAGUCGCGUUUGUUAUUUACCUAUUGUCGUCUUUAUUUAUGAAUUCAUUUCUUAUUUAUUUGGGCCUCGAAUCCAAUGUUGUAUUUAAUACAGGGGGAGCAAGACUCGAGCCAAAGGCUCGAAAAAUAUUUUAGGACAAGUGAAAUGGGUCGGAAAUCCAACUAGACUAAGACAGGUCACGUUGAUUUGGGCCCAAUGGCCUAAAUCCUUUACUUUCUCCUCCCUUCUCCUUUUAUGUGUUUAUUUAUUUAUUACUAUUGUUUAGACUUAGUUAAAAUCCCUACUAAGUCGCCUAAAUCUAUUUUACACAAGUCUUUUUUUGAAAAAAAUCAAAUCACUAUAUGAACAAAUUAAUCUUUUCGAAGUUAAUCAAAAGACGAUUUUCAAAUAGUCCAGAUAACCGCAAGUUAGCGGACGUUUUAGGUGCCUAACACCUUCCUAAAACGUUAAUAGGAACCACUUAUCUAGAAUCUCUUAACUUAAAUGAUUUUUCUAUUUUAGAUCGUUUAAAGUGUUUUAUAAAGGUUUCUUAAUUCCUUUUCAAAAUUAAGUGGCGACUCUCUUUCAAAAGUCAAAAUUUCUCCACAAAAUAGUGAUAGCGACUUUGCUGGGGAUUUUUAACUAGGCUCUAACCAAAUGUUUGAUUUCGUCUUUUGAUUGAAUGUUUAUGUGUUUAUGUGUUUUGAUGCUGUAGAAUUUAAAUAUCUCAUCUCAUGGCAUAUUCCUACAUUAUUUAAACUGUUUUGGGGUUUCGUCGGUAUCCCAGCUUCUAUUGAUCAAUUCCAAAAAUGUGUUGGAAAUACAAAUAGUUUAUUAGCACGUGAGUCGUCUAAUGGCUGUUUGUAUUUUCAAACUCAAGUUGUCUACUUGAGAACCAGUGUUCUAACCCACUCUAGACACCGAGGAUAGAACUAAACCAAAACCCUAUUUUCGGUAUGAGCCUAGGACGACAUAUAUCGAGUCUUGGGAAGGUGUCAAAUCAAAAAUCAUUUCUUUUAAGGUUGCAACCUAAUAUUACAUUGGUGGAUGAUGAAGCAUUUGGUACAGAAUUUGAGAAUGGUACAACCUGAUCAUAAAACAAGGGUGGAUAUGCUAGCUUCGCACGACAUGUGGUUGUUUCUACAUAGGUUCAAAAGGGAAGCAUCUCACGAAUUUUGGUUUAAGACUUUCGGGGAAUUAAGAGAUAACGAUGUGAAAUGGUCCAUUAACUCUCUUUUUUCAGGGAAAUACACCGUUCGAGGGGGUAAGUGGCCUUUCCUAGUGCUUUCCGGUCUCAGGGGGACCCGACCCUACAAUCCUGGCAGAGUUCUUAGGCAAUUCGAGAUCAAGCAGGAGGCACCACAAAUAGAUUCCAUGCUUAAGUUUUUCACUGAAUACGAUGAAAGUGAAUCUCCUCUCAAAGACGAAAAGAUAAAUGGAUGGAGAAAAAGAAGGUGGACGAAAGUGAUUUUCUGUAUAGAGCAUGACCCUGAAGUCAGCGACACUUACAAGGAGUGGUUGAAAAAGAGUCUUCCCGGAGCAUUGAUUCUGGGACCGAAUGUGCCCACUCAGGUUGUGGAUGUAGAAUCCAAGCAUCAAAUUUAGCUUCACAGGCAACAAGAUGAGUUCCAGAAAAGUGAAAUCGUGCACCGGCAGAUGCACAUGGAGGACACUUUGACCAUCGCAUAUUAAGGGAAGAGUUGAAAAGAGCUAGUCAAGACACAUAUUUUGUAGGUAUUUAUGCCCUUUUUUGUGUCUAUAUGAGUUGGGGGUUAAUGGAUUGACUUUGAGGAAGCACAUAUUUUCUUCAAAAAAUUGUUAGGCCUGAACCCUUGGCUCAAAAAGGGUCACCCCAACUAGGAUACGCGUCAUUAUAAUGUUUUAUGUAAUAUAACUAUUUUAUGUUCUUAUGUGCAUUUGUUAAGAUCAAAGGCAAGUUUAUCGACUAUGUCCUACGGAUGAAUUUGACUAUGACUGGAACAACUCUGUGUGGUUAUUUCCUGUCAAAUAUUUUGCAUUACUUAUUACAUACAGAAACUAAUGCAUUUGCCUUUGAGUUGUUCUACUUUGCAGAUAAUAGAAAUUACUCUGUGUUGAUAUAAGCUGGCAGAACAUCCCUACUUCACCCGAUCGAAAGCGUACAAAAUCCCAUCCUCUGACCAUCAUCCAUAAAUGAUAAGAAAUAAUGAAGAGAGCGCACUGACUAUCCGGGAUAAUGUGAUAGCGGAACAGAAUGAAAUGAUUGCGGAACUUUUAAGAAAGUUAGAAAUGCUUCAGGAGGAAGUAAAUCGCACUCGAAAUUUGGGUAACUUGGCCAUCACCAUCAAUGCCUCCGCUCCAGACGAACACAGGACUCUACUCUAAAUCUCUCUCCUAAGCACCCCUAUUCUCGGGGAUUAUCCAAAUAACAUAUCGUUCAUCUCUGCUCCUCCAUUCAUCCAAAAUAUCAAUCAUGAAAAUAACCUAGACACCUACCAUCCGCAAAACCCAUCUCUAACCCCACUAAAUCCAUCUCCAAAUACAUUCACAAAUCCUCAAAACACAUUUUCAAAUCAACAAAAUGUAUUCCCAAAUCCGCAAAUUCACUCCCAAACAUAUAAAACAUAUCAAAUCUACCUUCGAAUCCACCAAAUUCAUUUUCACAUCCUCGAAAUCUUUCUCAUAUUCAGCCAAACUACUCCCAAGGUCCAUGGAACCUUCCCAAUUUCCAAAAUAUCCUCCCUACUUACCAACCAAAUUCUCCUCAUCUGCAAAAUCAAGCCUCCCUUCCAAAUCUCUCUCACGCCAUCAUAUCCCCUGAUAUCUAUAAUCCCCUUCCUCAUCUCGAGAUAGACCAUUAUAAGAAGAAGAAGAAAGAGUAGAGGACCAAGCAUAAACUGAAGUUGCUAGCUAUGAAUGAAGAGAUCAUUAGGAUCAAUGAAUCUCAUGGAGUGAGGGACCACGACGGUUUAGGAUAUGAUGAUUUAUGUGUUCACCCGGGAGUAGACCUACCAGAUGGGUACAAAGUCCCUAAGUUUGAGAUGUUUGACGGUACCAAAAAUCCAAUGGCCUAUCUAAGAAGGUAUUAUGAGCAAUUAGUAGGUAUAGGGAAAAAUGAGGCGUUAUUGAUACGCCUAUUCAGUCGAAGUUUAAGUGGCAAAGCCUUGGAGUGGUUCAUGUCUCAAGAGCCAAAAAAGUUGACUAGUUGGAAAACAUUGGCCAAGGGUUUCCUUGACCGGUUCGCAUUUUACAUCGAAAUAGUCCCUAACCGGUACUCACUAGAUUGGAUCAAACAAAAGAGCAUUGAGAGUUUUUGAGACUAUGCUUUUCAUUGAAGGAAAGAAGCUGCCAAAGUGCAACCCCCCAUGUCUGAGGAGGAAAUGGUAUUCAUGUUCUCUCGCGCUCAAGAAGGAGAAUAUUAUACCAGGAUGGUGUCCGUUGUCAGAGAAACCUUUGUAAAUUUGGUAAAAAUAGGAGAAUCAUCGGAAGAAGGUAUUCGUACAGGGAAAAUUGCAAAAACCUCGACAUCAUCUGGAACUGCCAUGUUUUCUAAGAAGAAGAAGGAAGAGGUAGGUAUGGUUUCUGCUAAUUCUGUUACAAAAUCAAAACAACGGUUCAACUCUAGAAAUGUUUUAUCUUCCUCGCCGUCACCUAACCUUCCGCAAGCGUUCUACGCCCACCCCUAAUACCAAACUCCACUCCCAAACAUCUAAUCCUCAUACCAAGCUCCACAGCCAAACACCUUUUCCUAAUGCCUAGUUCCACCUCUAAAUUAUCAGUCUCAUUUCCAAACCACUCCUCCAAAUGACCGGACAAAUUUCCAAAUGCCUCCAAAUUAUCUCCAAGUGCCCCCUCCUACAAACCUAAGCCAUUAUAACCCCCAACAUCUAAACUAUGAAAAUAAACCUCCCCGUAACUUCACCCCACUAGCUGAAAGUCGUAUCUAAUUAUUUGAAAGAUUGAGGAAUGCUGGUCAUUUACAACCAAUACAGUCAAAGAAUAUCAAUCCCAACUCUCGAUUUUUUAAUGCAAGUCAAUAUUGUGCCAAUCAGUCGGGGGUACCAGGGCACUGUAUAGAGGAUUUUGUCUACUUGAAACACAAGAUCCAAGAUUUAAUCGAUCAAAAGGUCAUCACGCUCCAGGUACCUACUCUAAAUAUUAGCAGUAAUCCACUGCCCAACCAUAGGGGAUCUACACUUAACAUGAUUGAGAUAGAGGGCGAAUGGGCAUCUGGCAACACCAUUACUCAGGUGAACUCCGAAAAGUGCAAAAGAGCAAAAGAGGUAGGAAAGAUAAAGAAGUCUGUGGUUGCCUUAAGUAUCAGCGAGAAAACCUAAUUUAUAGUGAUAACAGCCCCGACUCAAGUGUAUUCUCCCCCACCAAAUCACUGCUGCCCAAGGGAUGACGUGAUCGGGAUGAUGUUACAUCCCUGAGGAAUUGACCAAUACAAAAGGUUCACAGAAAUGGCCAAUCACUUAAGGAGAGGCUGAGGAAUUUUGGAGGUGUAUGCAACCAAAGGAUUACUCAAUUGUCAAACACUUGGAGAAAAUGCCAGCCCAAAUCUAUGUGUUGGUGUUAUUAAUAAGUUCAUAAUACCACCGACAAGCUUUAUCAAAGGUCUUGGAGGAGGCGUAUGUUCCCACAGGAAUGAGUGUUGAGAACCUAGCUGCAAUGAUAGGGAACAUUGUGGGGAAUUAUCGCAUAUCAUUCAGUGAUGAAGAGUUGUUGUUUGAAGAGGCGAUGCACAACAAAGCCAUGUAUGCCACCAUCAUUUGUCGAGAUUAUGCAAUUAAUCAUGUAUUAAUAGAUGACGGAUCAGGUGUGAAUAUUUGUCCCCUCUCUACGUUGGUUCAAAUGGUAUAUGAUCUUGGGAAAAUUCAUCAAAGCCAUAUAAAUGUGAGAGAAUUCGAUAGAGGGCAGAGAGUUACCAUAGGAGAGAUUGAUUUGCAUAUCCAAGUGGGGCCUGCUGAGUUCAAAACUAAGUUUCAUGUUAUGGAUAUUCAUCCUAGCUACAACCUGCUCUUGGGAAAAUCAUGGAUACAUGGUGAAAAGGCAGUUUCAUCACCCCUUCAUGAAUUAUUAAAGUUUAUUUGGAAAGAUCAUGAAGUAUUCAUCCAAGGAGAAGGAAGUCGAUCGGACCGUCCCAACGGUUAUGUGCCAGUAAUUGAAGAUGUUUCAAAAGGUAGCAGCUUCUAUACAGUGGAAAUUGUAAAUGCUGUAGAUAGAGAUUUGACACUCAAAAUACCAAUGCCUCCUUCUACAAAAUAAUUGCAAUGGUGAUGUUAAGAAAUGGGUUAAAACCUGGUCGAGGUUUGGGCAAGAAUCUGUAAGGAAUUAUUGAGCCAAUUGCAAUCCCAGAGAGAGGCUAUAAGUACGGGUUAGGAUUUCAGUCUGCCAAGACGGAUAGGGUUGAGGAUGAGCCAGAGAAGAGUCUGUUUAGGUCCUUUCCACUCCUGUUCUAGUCAUUUCCUAUAUGAGAAGUACCCGAUGAUGAUGGUCUUGGGGAUAGGAUAGGAGAUUUGUUUGAAGGAUGCAAUACUGUACUAGAAAAUCUCCCAGAGUCCAACGGGGUGAAGCAGAUUGCACCAGGGGAGGCCUUGCAAAAUUGGACCUCCGCUCCACUCAUAACCCAUCGCCCCCCCGUGGUAGAUGAAAGGGCAGUUACUAAUAGUUUUAAAAUCGGUGAUGAUCUGGAGGAGGCCCCGCGAUCCACAUUUUAUAUCUCAAAACUUUCUUUUUGUAUCUUGCUUCUUUCAGAAAGGCAGGGACUUGUAUUUGUGCAAGUCACGAGCCAUAGUUUUUAUUUUUUUUUCAAAAGGCCUCCCUUUAUUUAAGAAGUUAUUUUUUAAAUAUGAUUAUCUAGAAUGGUUUAUUUUGGUAGCAAUAAUUUAAAAACCUGCCAAUGUCAUGUCAUGUUAAGAGUUAGACGAAAAAAGCGAAGAAAAUAAUGAUGAAUAGAAUAAGGUGAUGAGAAACAAUUAGUUAAAGGUAUAGAGGAAUAUGAAAAUCAAAAGAAGCCCAACCUGGAGGAGCCCUAAUCCUACCUAAGAUGGAUGGUCAAGAGUGGACCAAACCAAUCAAUUCUGAUGCGCUAAAGAGAUAUUGUGCUUAAAGAUGUUAUAGUUUUUGUGUUUCCUUAGUUUACUUGUAAUCACCUUUGUAAUAAUGUUGUUUUCUAGUGUGUAAUUGCCUAGAACCCCUUUUCUUUUAUAUACAAACUAGGUUUGACCUGAAUUCCCAUAAAGGGGAUACAUAGGUAGCCUAUGCCGGCUUCGGUCAACCCCAUAGAGAAAUUUAUCCUUUAUUUUUAUGUAUGAACUAUGUGAUGACCUGAAUUCUCGAGAAAGGGAUACGUAGGCGGCCUAUGUCGGCUUCGAUCAACCUAUUAAUUUCUUUUGUAUAUACCUAGAGUAGUCCUGAACUACGUUUGAUUCCUGCUUUAACAGGAUACGUAGGUGCCCCAACGACUCGAUCAUAUAACCCCAGGAAAGGAAAACUGGGGCAGAAUUUUUUAUAACGAAUCUCAAAAAUUAAUAAGAGAAGAUAGACAUCCAAUAAAAAGAAUGAAGAUCAGCAAAGACUUCAGAUCCACUCGGAUUGGUAUCAUCUCAAACAACUUUAAACUGGGAAAGAAAUUUUGAGGAAGACCUCAAAAUUUCCACCAAAUGCCGGAACAUAUUCCAAAUUCCCCAGCACCAGAGGUUAAAGCUUUGGCAGCCACCAACUAUAACAAAGUCUGGGUAGACUUAAUUUUUUCCUAUGAUAGAACUACUUGAAGAAACCCUCCAACAAUGAUCAUGAGUUUUGGAAACCAUCCAUCGAAUACAGUCAAAACCACAAGGAAGACAUUCUUUGAGCUAGUACAUGACAUGACUAGAAGAGAUUUUCUAAAGUUUUACAGAAGUUUUCAAAAUUAUUUUCAAAAAUUUAAGACUAUUUUCCAAAAAUCUUACGACUUACUUAUUUAGUAUUUGCCUAGACAUCAUUUGGGAUGGAGUGUUAGGGUGGAAGUCCCGAUAUGGUGGAAUGCCCAAGAGAUAGAAAGGAGCAAAUCAGGGAUCGAAGGAGGUCAACACGGAGUAAUUUCAUUCAAACUAAUCAUUUUUCUGUGGAUGCAGGGUUCAAUAUACAAAAUGAGGGUCUCUUUUAAAAAUCCCCGAGCAAAAUGGGAGCCACAACAGAGCAUUAAUACCCAAGAAUGGUAUUUUAGGGUAGCCCUAAAAAUAGGUUUAACGGCCAUUUAUUGAGGACCUUUUGAUUUGUCGUAUUUACACAUAUCGUAUUUAGAAGUUUCCUAAAAAUUGUCUCUAGUAAAAGCGACUUUGUGUCUACUAAUCGCCUACCUUGAGUACAGGUACAUGUAGAAAGCAGGACGCUGACAAAUGAAAUCAGGUAAAAUUACACAUCAUAGCCACAAGGCAUUGCCUCAAGGGCUAUUGCAUAUCGUUUCCACAAUGACUAUUGCAUAUCAUCACCAUAAUGCCUAUUGCAUAUCAUCGCCACAAUGGCUAUUGCAUAUCAUCGCCAUAAUGGCUAUUGCAUAUCAUAGCCCUAAUGGCUGUUGCAUAUCAUCGCCACAAUGGCUAUUGCAUAUCAUCGCCACAAUGGCUAUUGCAUAUCAUCGCCACAAUGGCUAUUCCAUAUCAUUGCCAAUGGUAUUGCAUAUCAUCGCCACAAUGGCUAUUGCAUAUCAUCGCCCCGAGGGCUAUUGUAUAUCAUCGCCCCAAGGUCUAUUGCAUAUCAUUUCCAUAAGGGCCAUUACAUAUCAUUUCCGUAAAGUCCAUCUCAUACCAUCGCCCUAGAAGGAAUACAAUAUGUAUUGACACGCUAAAUAGAAAUACUGGCAUCGAGGAUAUCUCAUCAUUUCAUGAAUCAACAUAUGAAUGCAUCGAGGGUACAUGAUUUGAAGGGACACCUUUAAGUCGCUAUCUAAGGAUGAAUGAUAUAUAAGGUUUCCUGGAAAUUGACAAUUUAAGGGAUUAUCUAUAAGUCAUAUUAUUUGAAAUAGGAUAGUGUGCAAGAUCACCUAUGAGUUUAUAGCCUGUACGUCAUCCGUAAGCCACAACAACAUCCUAAUCGAAUAGUGUACAAAAUCACCUGAAAAUCGAUAGUUCAAAAGUUAUCCAUAAGUCACAACUAAAUCCUUACCGAAGAAUAUGCAAGAUUACCAAAUUGAUACAUCCAAGGGUUCUCUAUAAGCCGCGUCAUAUCCAAGAUCAAUUAUGUGUAGGAUUACCCAAAGACUAACAAUUUGAGAGAUUAUCUAUAAGUCAUACUGUAUCCAAGGUCGGAUGAUAUGCAGGAACACCUGAAAGCUAGCAAUUGGAGGGAUAUCUGUAAGCCAUCUCUUAUCCAAAGUCGUAUAAACUACAGGAUUACAUAAAAGCUAGAAAAUCAAAGAAUAUCUGUAAGUCACCUCAUAUCCAAUAUCAUAUAAUACGCAAGAUUAUCCAAAGAUUGAUAAUUUAAGAAAAAAUUAUAAAUCGAUCAUCGGCCUUUUUUACUUUGGUGUCAUGAUCUGUCGCCCACUCUUGGUGUUAUUGUGUAACUUUCGGCCUAUGCUUCACUUGGUGUAUGGAUGGUGAUUGGAAGGGCUGGUUUGUUAGGCAAAGUUUGUGACUUUGAUUGUAUUCCAUAGUUUUAGUCAACGAUGUUUGGCUUGUAGUUGUUAUCUGAUCGUGUUUGUUCAAGAUCGUUGCUGGAUUGUGGUGUCAUUGUUGUGCUAGAAGUGUUGCUAGCAGAGCUACCUCUCAAGUUCCUUUGGCUUCUUAUAUGCGCAAAAGACAAUGAGCAAGGUCCAAAAUAUGCAAGAAAAUCCUAGGAUUUCUCGAUGACUAUUUUGUUUGAGUUGGUCAGAGCGAGGAGAAAGAUAGAGACAAUAUUCCGUUUGUCUUGCUUUUGUUGUUUUUCGUUAUUAUAAAUAUUGUGCCGAUAAUACCGUUAGUAGGAUUUCCUCUUGAGUUAUUUGCCUUCCAAAAUGCCAAAGAAUAACGAGGAUAAGUUCUCCAAAAAUAGAAAAAUCCUGUGAUUCUUCGGUAAUUAUUUUGGCUACCAAAAGCUUAUCUUUUGGGUUUGUCGAAGAGAGAGAGAGAGUGAGGAUGAGGAUAAUAUACUCUGCCACAUGAUUUUUUCAGUCUGUGGAUUAUACCUUUCUUUUGGUUUCAAAAACCUGAAUUCAGAUUUCCAUUUUUCCUUUAAGUUCAUCAUCGGUAUGAAAUCCUGUUAGAAGGAUAAAUAUUGUUGUGUUUUUGUGGAUGCUGCACAUUUAAGUGUGUUUGUUCAGGAAAAUUAGACUAAUUUUUUUGUCAUUACAUUAUGUAUUGUCUGUACAUGAGCUAAGGAUUCCCAGUAAUCUUUCUUGUUCAGUAAUAUCAAGAAGGUAGGGAUGAAGUUAUACUCAUUUUUCUUUCAGAAAUAGGAUUAGGGAUAAGAUAACGCGUCAUAAUCGCUUAUCUCCGUCCUUAAAUACC
rnacentral:lncRNA from 1 species